UACAGAGGGGGCAAGCGUUGUUCGGAUUUACUGGGCGUAAAGGGCGCGUAGGCGGUAGCACAAGUCAGUUGUGAAAUCUCCGGGCUUAACUCGGAAAGGUCAACUGAUACUGUGCGACUAGAGUGCAGAAGGGGCAACUGGAAUUCUCGGUGUAGCGGUGAAAUGCGUAGAUAUCGAGAGGAACACCUGCGGCGAAGGCGGGUUGCUGGGCUGACACUGACGCUGAGGCGCGAAAGCCAGGGGAGCGAACGGG
rnacentral:rRNA from 1 species